rnacentral:lncRNA from 1 species
AGAGAAAAAGAACAAACUUGUGGUUUCAUAGAACCAGCCAAGGCUCUGCCUCCAAGGCCUGGUAUCCUUAUAAGCUGGCUCCGUAUACUGCUUGUCCGAUGGCCUGGACUGGGACAGCAGUACCAAGGACUCAAGCACGUGGCUCUCCUACCUCCUGUACUUGUUGAACAUGAGCUGGGUCAAUGUAAAACUGGCCCCUUUCUUGCCAUACUUGUGAUGAGAAGCAGGUCACCAGAGCCUUUCAGGACAGCGAGAUCCCGGCCAAGUUAUUUAACUCUCUGUGCUUCUAUUUACCCACAGAGAACUUGGGGGUAGUUGUACUUUGUGCCUCCAAAGUUCUUGUGAACCUUCAAGUGAACAUGCGCAUGUUCAAGUGAAUGCAUGCACACGUGGGCAUGGAAGCCAGAGAUCUCUACAUCCCGACCGGUGGAGGGGAUGCAUAAAGAUAGAAAAGCAAAACUAAGCAUGCAGCCUCAGCUCCCCAGAUAUCCUUUUUUAGAGUUAUCUGACGGAUUAAAUGAUUGGUGGGGACCACACAUUUUAAAACUCUGCUCAUGUGCUCAGACCUGCAUCUGAUGGUCCU